rnacentral:tRNA from 1 species
GGCGCGAUAGCUCAGUCGGUAGAGCAGUGGUCUUGUAAUCCGGUGACCCAGGUUCGA